GACGAACGCUGGCGGCGUGCUUAACACAUGCAAGUCGAGCGGUAAGGCCCUUUCGGGGGUACACGAGCGGCGAACGGGUGAGUAACACGUGGGUGACCUGCCCUCAGCUCUGGGAUAAGCCUGGGAAACCGGGUCUAAUACUGGAUAUGACUCCAUGACGCAUGUUGUGGGGUGGAAAGCCUUGUGCGGCUGAGGAUGGGCCCGCGGCCUAUCAGCUUGUUGGUGGGGUGAGGCCUACCAAGGCGACGACGAGUAGCCGGCCUGAGAGGGCGACCGGCCACACUGGGACUGAGACACGGCCCAGACUCCUACGGGAGGCAGCAGUGGGGAAUAUUGGACAAUGGGCGAAAGCCUGAUCCAGCGACGCCGCGUGUGUGAAGAAGGCCUGCGGGUU
rnacentral:rRNA from 1 species